CCUACGGGAGGCAGCAGUGGGGAAUAUUGGUCAAUGGACGAGAGUCUGAACCAGCCAAGUAGCGUGAAGGAUGACUGCCCUAUGGGUUGUAAACUUCUUUUAUAAAGGAAUAAAACGAGGCACGUGUGCCUUUUUGCAUGUACUCUAUGAAUAAGGAUCGGCUAACUCCGUGCCAGCAGCCGCGGUAAGACGGAGGAGCCGAGCGUUGUCCGGAUUUAUUGGGUUUAAAGGGAGCGUAGGGGGGUUGUUAAGUCAGUUGUGAAAGUUUGCGGCUCAACCGUAAAAUUGCAAUUGAUACUGGCAGUCUUGAGUACAGUUGAGGUAGGCGGAAUUCGUGGUGUAGCGGUGAAAUGCGUAGAUAUCACGAAGAACCCUGAUGGCGAAGGCAGCUUACUAAACUGUGACUGACAUUGAUGCUCGAAAGCGUGGGUAGCAAACAGGAUUAGAUACCCGUGUAGUC
rnacentral:rRNA from 1 species